rfam:Sus scrofa breed Duroc isolate TJ Tabasco Contig1914_1, whole genome shotgun sequence.
UCCCUGGUGGUCUAAUGGUUAGGACUCAGCACUUUCACUGUGGUGGCCCAGGUUCCAUCCCUGGACUGGGAA